UAUGGCCAUAUCACGUUGAAACAUUGGUUCACGUUCGAUCACCGAAGUUAAGCAACGUCGAGCCGGGCCAGUACACAGAUUGGUGACUUCUGGAGAAUACCAGGU